rnacentral:lncRNA from 1 species
UUGUGAUGUGAUAUAAACAUACAUAAAAUUUCAUGAAGCAUAGACUGUAUAACAAUACUAUCAAUGGUCCUGUAGCCACACAUUGAACCACAAAAUUCCUCAUAUAUAAUCCCUUCCCAAUAAAACUCCUGUCCCUUGUGAUUUGUCUCUUAUAAUUUCCUUGUUUUUCUUCAGUUUUUGAACUUUAUGUAAAUAGAAAUAUACAGUGUGCCCUUGGGUGUCUUGACUUGUCUCAUGUAAUGUCGUAUUUGUGAGAUUCAUCCAUGAUUACAUGUAGUUACACCAGGUUCCUUUUAAGUGUCCUAGAGCAUUGGAUUGUAUGACCAUGACUCACUGUAUUUAUUCACUCCAACAAUGGUAGACAUUUGGGCUGUUUCCAGUUUUGAAGUAUCAUGAAUAUCCCUUCAAUGCUCUUGUAUGUGUGUCCUGAUACAUAUGUUUUCAUUUCUGCAGUAAUCACCCAGGAAUGGAAUUUGGGGUCAUAGCAUAUGGUGUCUUUAACUUCACCAUAUAAUGCCAAAGUGUUUUCCAAAGUGGUUGCUACAAUAUACUACUCCAGCAGUUCAGCUGUUCCAAAACUUGAACUUUACUUUCAACAAUUCUGAAGUAGGAUUGUAUUUCAUCAUGUAAUUUCCUCUUAUUAAUGUGAUUUGUCACCUUUUCAGAUUUACUGGUUAUUUGAAUACCUCGCUGGGGAAAUGCCCAUUAGGACUUCAGCAUGUUUCCUUUUGCACAUCUGUCAUUUUUAAAAUGAAUUUGCAAGAUAUUAAUCCUGGUAAUAUGUGUAGCAAGUACCAUUUCCUACUCUUGCCUUGUGUUUAUUUCACUCUGUGGCACCUUUUCAUGCAGAGAUUUUAAUUUUUAUGUUUCAGAAUAUAUUGAUAUUUUCCUCUAGUUGCUUUUUAUAUCUUGACUAAGAUAACUUUCCUUACCAUGAAAAUGGUCUCCUGUAUUAUCUUCUAGAAGAUUCAUUUUGCCUUUGACAAUCAGUCUGUAAUCCUAUUGGAACUGAUUUUUAUGAAUGGAGUUAAAAAAAGAUCUCAUUUCUAUCUUUAUAUUUAUCCCUGUGUGCCGCAGUCUGGCUGGGCACACAAUCACGAGC